AAAAAGAAGGGUAGAAGGUCCCGAAGCAGAGCGCCUCACGGGAUGAAAAAGAAUUUAAGCCCAACACGACGAAGACGAAGACGAAUAAUAUUUUCAACUAUAACCGACAAUAUCUUCUCUCGCCGCGAGCCUGCUUAUCGAGGGUUUUGCAGGUUUUGAGGUUGAAAAGUUGUAGCAGAGAGGACUUGAGUUUUAAUGAGGCGGUGCUUUUGACAGAAAAGGAGUUCGUGUAGAAGUUUAUAUCGAGGUCUUGAGAUAGUGCGGAGGAAUUGUUGGUAUGCUACAAAUCUCGUCUUUUGGAUUUAUCUUCUUCUUCUUCUGAGAAGGAAGACUCCUUACUGACACUACUCUCUACGCCCUUCAACUCUAAUAUGCAUCCUUAUUCUGCGGUAAUGUCAUUCUUGGACGUAAACUUAAAAUUGAAUGGUUUCUCGACAUUUCAGGCCUCAUAUUACAUCAGAAGGCUUGCAAAGGUGAUAUUAUAACAUUCCGAGCUCCUUUACGACUUCUUCAUAUGGUUGGAGUUUUUCUAAUCUGCCAAGAGUUAUGAUAAUAAAUUCUAUUAUGAGACUCCACUAAUAAAGUAAGGAGGAGCUCUUUUGGGUUCUGAUCUUGCUUGGUUCUUUUUUUUGUCAUGAGUUUCUCAGUUAACUCAAGGAGAUGCUCGUUUGGGCAACAUAAUAUGAUCAAUUGCCUGAGUGGAAAAAGUUUCAAGAAAAAAUUUGAUUUGAUUGUAAGUUAUGGGUUUCCGGAGAAAUUAAAGUGUGUUUAUGUUUCGAGGGUUAGCUUCUUCUUAUGACCUCCAAGGAGAAGUUGAAGACAAAAAUCCAAUUCUUCUUGAGCAUAAUUGGGUUUGAGAAGGAAAUUUUAGCUGAGAACCUGUCUGCUUGGCGUACAGUUUUGAAGAUAGAAUCUUUCCUUGUCACGGGGUUUUGCAAGUUUUGAGGUUGAGAAGUUGUAGCAAAGAGGACUUGAGUUUUUAUGAGGUGGUGCUUUUGACAGAAAAGGAGUUCGUGUAGAAGUUUAUAUCGAGGUCUUGAGAUAGUGUGGAGGAAUUGUUGUUUUUCAAGAAUCGGUAACCGUUCAGUUCCCAUGAGAUCUAGUUUUGUAGUGUAAGUAUGGUCAUAUGGCACUGGGAAAGCUCAUAUGUGGUGUUCCAGGCCUGAUUGGUUGUGUUGAAGGAAUGAGAGUGAGAUGUGUGGAAAAAUUGUGAGAUGAGAAAAAAUUAUAUGUUAUUAGAACUGACAAGAUCAAGUAUUGUAAUUUACGUGUCUGACCUUUGCCAUGGAGGGUUCGCUCUCAUGGCAGGUCAAAAAGUGUAAUAAAAUUUAUGUAUUGUUGGUUUUGGGGGGAUGAGGAGAUGGCACAGGAUAUUAAUAUAUUAUUUUGUCUGGCUCUCCCUAUCUCCCAUUUGUCUGCCUGUGUACUAUUUUUUUUUUUAAUUCUUAUAUUUAUUUUUUAACAAUUAAUAUAAAUUAUAUACUGACGUACAUUAUAUAUUUAUGUAAAUUAUAUAAUUUAUGUGUCUGAUCUUUUUCAUAGCGGGUGCGCUUGUAUAGCAGGUCAUAAAGUGUAAUAAUAUUCACGUCUUUUUUUGGUAUUUCACAAAAUUUGAGUAUGAGAGAUUAUAAAACGACUGCAAAAUAACAAAGUUGCUAGAUGACAUCACCCACCCAAAAAAAAUUUAAAUUUAAAUUAAAAUUGGGAGUUUUCUGGAUUCUGCUUUAAUUUGUAAUGUAUCAGAUGUCUCUGGUCACUUUGCUCUGGUAGGGAGUGAAGGAAGUAGGUGCUUAUCUUUUAACAUUAUGUUCAAGUUAGCUAUGCAUGAAUUUGGAAAGACGGGACAAUGGUUCAGAGUUUUAGGGAUAAUCUUUUUCUUGUUAAAAAAAAUUAGGGAUCGUGUUUACUUUCAUGUUUCAGAAAUUAAAGUCAUCUAGUUGGAGUACUACCUCUUUUUCCAAAUCACUAGAGAACCAUGUCAUUUUCCUUGCUUUGAAGUGGUGCAAGAGAAAAAGAAAAUCCAUAAAAGACCUAGGCAUGUUACAAAGUGGAAGAUAUGCUAUUUGAACAUAUGUGUAAAGAUAUAACUGACUUUUCAACUUAUAGAUUCUGAUCCGUAGAUAAAGAAAUUCAGAAACAACAAUGGUCACCUUUAUUGUGUUCCUUUUGGUAUCAAUUAGUUACUUGCAGUAUGUUAUUUUUGGAAUUCCGUCAUGAUGGAUUUGAUGCUGCAUUUUCAUUAAGACCUCGUAUUACAUCAGAAGGCAUGCAAUAGGUGAUAUUAUAACAUUCCAAACUCCUUUACGACUUCUUGAUAUGGUUGGAGUUUUUCUUAUAUGCUAAGAGUUAUGAUAAUAAAUUCUAUUAUGAGACUUCAUUAUCGUUUUGCUUUGCCUACAGCAACCUUGAUUUAGGAACCAAGAUGUUUUGAUUAAGAGAAUUGUUGUCAGAGCUGGAGAUUCUGUUGAGUAUGUUCCUAGAGUCCAUGUCUUCGUGUUAGGGGACAACCGAAACAACAGCUGCGACUCUACGAUUUGUACUAUUCUCAAAUUUUUAGAGAGUUUCUGUAUAUGAUUCAGUUUAGAGAUUGAAAAAAUGUUUUUUUCUCAUAUACUUUUAAGACAAUUUCUUUCUUCUUCCUGUUUUCAACUUACUAUUUUUUGAAUGUUGAUAAUUACUGUUAAAAAUAUUGCUGCUACAGACUUUCAAACAGAUCAAACUAAAUGGAAGAAAUUGUUUGUAAAUCACAUGGCUAUAUGUAGGAAUUGGUUGAUUAAUCUCUUAAACUAACGUCACAUGUAACCUUUUAUUAGUUGGUUUGUAUAUCAAGUGGACAUGAAAUUAUUCGAUUCUCACUCGAUUGAAUCGAAUAUACAUUGAGAACCACCAUGUGGGUUAGGGACAUUGUUGCCAGAGUUCUCGUUGCUAUGGCUUUUCCAUUUAUGUUAUCUUUUGCUUUUCUCUUUUUUAUUCAAUAGUUAAGUAUAUUUUGUAAUAGAAUAAAAUUAUGUAUUAGUUUGUUCCAUUAUUAUUCAAGUGAUUGAUUAGUACGAUAUUCUCAAGAGAUUGCAUUGUUGAAACGACGCUACAUUCUUAGAGGAUGAAUAGCCUCACAUAUAUUGAUAAACCAAUGAAUUGCCAUUGUUGUUAUCCCAAAA